UUUUAUAUAUUUUAAAUCUAGUAAUGAGUGUUUAUUUUUGUUCAUCAGUGAAUGAAAACGGUUUUUAUCCUAAUAUGAAUUCAGCUUAUGAUCCUGAAUUUAUAUUGUUAAAGCAGUUAAUGAUAUUAUUUCAGAGUUAUAACUGACUUAGCAAAGUCACGUUAUUUAUUUAAGCAAGAUGAAAUUAGAUUUUAUCUUUAUUCAAGUCGUGAUUUAUUUCUGACUCGUGAGUUAAUUAAAUCUGCGGAUUUAAUUUAAAUAUUAGAACAACAAACGAAUUAAAUCUACGGAUUUAAUUUAGAUUCAUUUUAUAAUUUAUCGAUUUAAGCGAGAAAUCACAUGUCGAAAUACGAGAUUUAUUUAAAUAAACAGUAUCAAGCAUAUACGAGCACACGAUCCAUCUUACAGUUACAGAAUCACCGAGACAGAGAAAAUACAUCAAUAAUUCUCCUCUACAUUUUUUUUCCUUUCUUUUUCUUCUCUUUUUCUUUCCAUUAAUUUUGUUCCCCACUCCAUUUUACCACUAAAUCUACUUUUUGACUUUCACCACCAUUUUCCCCACCACUUUCACCACCAACUCAAUUAUGCAACAACACAUAUUGUUCCAGCCAUCAAGUCUUUUCUUCCCUCACCAAAACGUGUAGAAGAAGUUGAGAAAGGGAGAGAGAGUUUCCUCCAACUCCAAAUUGUAACUUGAAGAGGUCAAACACGAGAUUAAUAAUCAGUCAAGGAGCUACUGUACCACAGAAAAUUUCUAUCAGGUGGGCAUUACUUUCAUAUAUAUCAAAUGAGUUUAAUGUUAUGUUUGAACAGUUAUUUCAUUGCAAAAUCUUUGAACUGAAAAUUAUUUCAAAUGUUGUCUUGCCAUAAAUGUUUCAAUGUUUGGUAUGAUAUCUAUCUGAUGUGGCUUUGCCAGUUAUUAUGCAAUCGAAUUCGGGUCCUGAGCAGUUGAUAGCUAUCCUGCCAGGGCUAGUGUACACCAGUGACCGUGAGUCAUCUAGUGGGUUGGCCGGUCAAGUGUCCGUGAGAGGUGGCCACCUCUCCGGCACACAGUUCCAGAUAUGAUAGAUUACAAGAGAACUUAGUCUGCAGACGAACUUUAAGAAUCACAAAUGAAUUUAGUAAGCUUGGGCCUUUUUAGCGAAAAACUCCCUUGCUGUACUGUUUAUGAUGGCAUGACAAUUUACAACUUUACGAAGCAUGUUAUAUUUCAUAGUAGGCAUAUGUGCCCACUGAGUACUUUUGUACUCAGCCCUGCAUAUAUUUCUAAAUGUGCAGGUUGAGCAGCUGCCGAUGGUGAUGAAGUGACGAGCGGGACUCUUUUGUCUUAUUAUGUAUUAAUGAACUCUAGGGUUACAUGUCUUCAUACAUGUAAUCAGAACCUUAUUCCGCUGCGUACUCAGAAUUUUUAUGUUAUUUUGGAUAAGUCGGAGUUAUCCGAACUUGUUAGUUAUUUGAGUCUAUACGACAAAAACUCUGUUAUAUUAUA